CGAGGCAUGUUCCAAUGGAAAUUCCUGGCAAGAAGCAGAGGCUUUCCAGUCUUUCCCAGCACUGCUCCCCUCCACCAGCCCCUGCAACAUGCAGACUUCUCCUUAAAAUCAGGGGGCAAUUUCUUCCAAAGGUGGAUGUACUAGCUCAGUUCUCUACCUGAGAAUGGCAUUGAAAUGACAACCGUGACAGUCUGUGAGUGGGAUUUCCCGUUCCUUUGUCUCGAACUCCAGCCAAGCAAAGCACUAGGAAGUGCAAACAAGCACUUGUGUUCAGAGCCUCAGUGUCCUCCUCCGUAAAAUGUGCAUGAUUGCUUUGUCGACUGCCUAAGAGCGAAGAGAAGUCUGGUUUUUAACAUUUGUGAUGAGCAGUGAUCGAAAUCAUCAACGGGUUCCUCGAUGCUGCACCUCCGCAGCCAGCCUGAACCAGACUUUGGGGAGCUGUGGCCCGAGGUAGGCAGCUCACUCAUCCUGAUUUUUUUCUCCAAAAGAACAGAACAAAGCUUCUUAAGCCUCUCAGGGUAGCUGAGGACACAGAAGAAGCUGACUCUCCUAGACAAGAUGGAGUAUACACACAGGCACACACAGUGGGUGUGCAUGUCUCUACGCAGUUACCUUUCCUCCCCCAAAGCCGAUUCAACAAGUCCUCAUGUUAAAUCUGGAAAUAGGACUGAACGUUGGCUGUACGCCAAGACGGGAAGCACAUACAAGGAACGUGUGAGACGUGAUUUCUCCCUCAUGGCAGCCCGUGAGCUACAGUAUCAGACUUGAGAGACUGCUGGCCGUGGCGGCAAGUACCCCACCCACCAGUUCCAGGAAAUGACCAGCCACAGAAAACCCCCACCCCAACAUUGAACAACCCUUCUUUUCUUGAAAUCUCCACAAAUUACCGCCAACCAAGGAUGGCCGAAUGAACCUGAAGACCAAUUAGAAAGUCUCCCUGGCUUCCAAAAUUCCACCUAAACAUAAUGUUUGCCAAUCAGAGAUUGACUCUGUAUUUCCUCUCUUUAUGCUGUGUAAUGAACUCUCCUUUAACACCCCUGAACACUUGUCCACAAAAGCAACAGCCGAUGGGUUUCCUUACUACGUAUUUAUGAAUAAACAGGCUGUGAGUUUUGUCUCAGACUUAGUUUUGUCUCUGACAGAUUUAACUCAUAAAUGACACAAUCACAGAGCAGAAGUAGUCAAUAAAGAACGAGGUCCUGUAAGUGUUCAGAGAAGGGCAGGAGAUGAGGACCGAGGUGAUAAAGAGAGGCUUCUCAGAGCAGGUCAGACUUGAAGGAGGGCUUCUAGUAGGAGUGGGGUAGAGAAGCUGGGAAGGCAAUGUAUAAACAAUAGGCUGGAAGGAAUAUCAGACACUGUUAUGUGGAGAGGGGCCAGGGACGAAGGUGGAGGAGGACAGGAUUGCAUGCCUCCCCAGGGGCACCCACUUCCGAAACAGAAACUCCAAAUUGGGAAAAUGCAAGGGCAAGGAAUUAAGAUAAUGUGAGGAAAGGGGAGUUAGAAGACCAUGUGUUUAAAUGACAUUGUGAAAGUCUUCAUACUAAGUAUUUCUGGUGUUAUCUAAAUAAAGGCAUAACCAUUACA